rnacentral:rRNA from 1 species
CCUACGGGAGGCAGCAGUGAGGCAUAUUGGUCAAUGGGCGAGAGCCUGAACCAGCCAAGUCGCGUGAGGGAGUACUGCCCUAUGGGUUGUAAACCUCUUUUGUCGGGGAGCAAAAGCCGGACGUGUCCGGCUGUGAGAGUACCCGAAGAAAAAGCAUCGGCUAACUCCGUGCCAGCAGCCGCGGUAAUACGGAGGAUGCGAGCGUUAUCCGGAUUUAUUGGGUUUAAAGGGUGCGCAGGCGGAUUUUUAAGUCAGCGGUAAAAUCGUGGGGCUCAACUCCAUCCAGCCGUUGAAACUGGGGAUCUAGAGUGUGCGAGAGGUAUGCGGAAUGCGUGGUGUAGCGGUGAAAUGCAUAGAUAUCACGCAGAACCCCGAUUGCGAAGGCAGCAUACCGGUGCACAACUGACGCUCAGGCACGAAAGCGUGGGUAUCGAACAGGAUUAGAUACCCCUGUAGUC